AUACUUUCGGAAAUAAAUGUGAUAAUCCGUGUCCUGCAAACUGUUCACGCACUGGAACAGAAAGUGCAUGUUCAAAAAAUGGAACGUGCAUUUAUGUAUGUGCGCAGAUUUACUACGGGCAUCUAUGUAGUAUACCUUGUUCCAGCAACUGCGCCAGUGGUAUGGACAGCAGAUUGUGUUCCAGUAAUGAAACGUGCAUUAACGGCUGUAGGUUUGGAUACGUUGGUACACACUGCAAUGUGACUUGUCCAGAGACAUGUUCUGAAGUCACCUCUGGCAGCAGAUGCUCUGAUGAUGUUUCAUGUUCUGCAGGCUGCAUUGAUAGAUACUCUGGAAAACUAUGUGAAUACCUAAUCAACGCAGAUUCAUCAGCGGCAUACACAAGUGGAAACACUGCGGUCAUUGCUGGCUCGAUUGUGGGUGGAGUUUGUUUCAUUCCUGGAUGUGUGAUCAUCACACUGCUGCUGAUGAAAAAGAGAUACAUGAGUGUUUUUAUUUAUAGUUCUAUCUCGAAUAUAUAUUACAGCGAUAUCAUAGUUUACAUAGUUCUGCCUGAGUUAAGGGUAACACAUGAAAGUUGUUUAAACGGCUGCAACAUCAAUUCAAAGAAACUUGUAAAGAUGGUUAAAUGCUUAUUGCUGAUGUCAUCAUAGCACUAGAACUGAUUAAGUCCUGAACACUUAAAUAUGUCGUUUUCUUUUUAUGAUUUUACUGGUUAUUGUAUUAUAUAGGAUUUAUUUCAAUUUUGGUGCUGUUGUUGAUUUCGUUUUAAGCCAAUUGCAACGAACGUAUCAUGAACAUAAACGCUAGCCUACAGAUUUACUCAUAUGUCGGUCAUCAUUUUAUUAAACUAAUUUUUGCCGUAUGGUUAUAACGAGAAUUUAGCCGUAUCGUUAUAACAAGAAUAUUUUGAAUUUCAAUGUAUAUAUUAAAAUGUUUAUUAUUGUUUGUUGGCACUUUUCUUUUAUUUCAGAAAAAAACGAUGCCAAUGAAUAUUAUAAUACGAGGCAUUUUGUUGCAGGUAAUCAUGCUGCACGAGCUAACACACAGACAGACGCCGAGUCAAACUACACAGCGUUGGGUGACAUUCACGAGCAAACGAAUACGCAUUCUUCUCUUAGUGAAGGUAAUCACAUUUCAAAUCCCCAACAAACACAAAGAGAGGCCGAGACUAACUACACAACUUUGGGGGACAAUCGAGAAGAAGGUCAUACCUAUUCAAGUCUCAGCGAGGGGAAGUCCUGAUCUUGAACCAUAUACAAAUAUACAAGCCAAAUAAUACAUGUUUUUUUUAGGACGACGGCCAGAUCCAUCAUGACAUAUAUGGUUUUCAAAUAAUGUAAGCUUUCACGACAACAAUUAUAAUUGGGAACCUAUAUCAUAAGUGAACAUGCAUGAACCCAUUACAGUUGUUAACAAUGAUAUGCAUGUGUUGUGAACAUAGUUUUGUAUUAUUUUAAUGUUGAAUGUUUGAAAUUUGUUUAGGCACUGCAGUUAAACCCAAUUCACAAUUAACUGUGUUAAUGUUUAAAAAUGUUAUCAGCAUUGCGCGUAUAUGUAUAGAGUAUAGUAAUUCUUAUUAAAAUAAAUAUACGUCAUUACCCUUGUUAAGUGCAUUGUUGGAUAUCUCCAUUACCACUGUAUGAUUGUUUGUAAAUCGUUCAUUUAUUUUGAAAUAGAUUUUGAAUAGAACAUAUUUAUCCUAAAUAAAAAUACAUUGUUUCAUCUUUAGAUAUGAAGCUCAGAACUGCGAAAGAAUGUAUACACCCUCAAAAGCAGAACGAGGUCAUUUCUGUCGAAUGAAUUUUUCGUGACUGCUCGAUUUACGCAAUACCCAUUAAUGGCAGGGGUUAAUAUUUUUCAUGAGUUAAUUAUUUUUAGUACAUAAUUGUAUCGUUGUUUUUUGUAUUUGUCGGUAAACCGCCUUAAUAAAGUGAUGUAAGCAUAUUUUUGGAAUAAACUAGGCGUAAAAUUAA